rnacentral:rRNA from 1 species
UACGGAGGGUGCGAGCGUUGUCCGGAAUCACUGGGCGUAAAGGGAGCGUAGGCGGCGUGGUAAGUCAGAUGUGAAAUCCCGGGGCUCAACCCCGGAACUGCAUCCGAUACUGCCGUGCUAGAGGAUUGGAGAGGUAGCUGGAAUUCUUGGUGUAGCAGUGAAAUGCGUAGAGAUCAAGAGGAACACUCGUGGCGAAAGCGAGCUACUGGACAAUAUCUGACGCUGAGGCUCGAAGGCCAGGGUAGCGAAAGGG